CCCAUCGCCGAUCCUUCUCUUUCCCCGAUCUCCUCCCCUCUCUGCCCCGACGCGAUCUCGAUCUCCCCUCUCUUCCUUCUCUGUUCUCUCUCGCGGACGAUCGGCGCCGACGGGAGCAAGGCUUCAGCUCCGGUGAUCUUCUCUGCCGGCAGCGAUCCUUUAGCUCAGAUCCAGCUGAAGCCUUCUCCUUCUCGCUCUAAUCUCUUGGUUCUCUCACGGGGACGAAUCGACGCCGAGCGUGGACGAACCGACGCCGACGAUCGCCGGUGUAGGUUCAUUGCCGGUGCUUUGCAUUCGGAUCAUUGCUUCGUGUGAGUAGAGCUUCGAUCAGGAAGGGGGUCCUAGCCCUAGCCUCGAUCCUCCUCUGUUCUUGGUGUUGUGCCCUAGCUCUGAAGUUCGCCUCCUUGUCAGAGCAAUGGGGUUCCGACAAUGAGACAGCGAGGGUUACGGGAUUGGAGAAGAAGAAGAGUGAGGUUUUGUUCUGUGGGGAUUUGAUUGAAGAGGUGUUUAUUGAGCUGUGGUUUGUGCUUGAUCAGUAGUGUUUCCGUGCCAGCAGCAAUCUCAUCUAACAUAUUGCUUGGUUUCAGCAAUCCACAGUAGCUUGAUCGAGGACUCUGAUUCGAGACGGGCGUCUCGACUUCGGAUUUGGAUUGAUUGUACCUUCUAUUUG